GAGUAAUUACGGGCACAGACCCAGCCAGAGUUUAGGGCAGGCUUUCCUGAGGAAGUAACAUGUGAACACCCUCAAGGGUUCACCAGGUGAAACUGGCAGGGAAAGGGGUGUGACUCAUGCCAAUGUUCUCUCCUGGAGGGCAUCAUGGCAGGGACAGCUAUUGCCUUCUUGUCGGUCUCCUUUUGUGUCCUGAGAACUUGGCUUGGCAGGCUGAAGCGUGGAUGUGGUUGUGACCCAGCUUUGACCAUGCAACCAAGGACAACAUCCUAUGGAUGAUGAUGUAACAAGUUGGGAAGAAGCCAGGUCUCCAGCCACCCUGAUAGAACUGAGUGGCCCCUGCAGUCCGGACUACUCACCUCUGACAAUGGUCUCUUGUGUGAAAAAUAAAGUGAAUCUUCUUUAAGCUGC